UACGAAGGGGGCUAGCGUUGCUCGGAAUUACUGGGCGUAAAGCGCACGUAGGCGGCUUUCUAAGUCGGGGGUGAAAUCCUGGAGCUCAACUCCAGAACUGCCUUCGAUACUGGAGAGCUUGAGUCCGGGAGAGGUGAGUGGAACUGCGAGUGUAGAGGUGAAAUUCGUAGAUAUCUGGAGGAACACCGGUGGCGAAGGCGGCAUCCUGGACCGGUAUUGACGCUGAGGCGCGAAAGCCAGGGGAGCAAACGGG
rnacentral:rRNA from 1 species